UAAGGCAUCCUUUGCUUUUUCUCUUAGCU
rnacentral:piRNA from 1 species